GCUCGGAUCCACUAGUAACGGCCGCCAGUGUGCUGGAAUUCUCCGGUUGAUCCCUGCCGGAGGCCACUGCUAUCGGGCUCCGACUAAGCCAUGCGAGUCUAGGGGCUCCUUCGGGAGCACCGGCGGACGGCUCAGUAACACGUGGACAACCUACCCUCGGGUGGGGGAUAACCUCGGGAAACUGAGGCUAAUACCCCAUAGGCCUCGGGUACUGGAAGGUCCCGAGGCUGAAAGCUCCGGCGCCCGAGGAUGGGUCUGCGGCCUAUCAGGUAGUUGGUGGUGUAAAGGACCACCAAGCCUACGACGGGUACGGGCCCUGAGAGGGGGAGCCCGGAGAUGGACUCUGAGACACGAGUCCAGGCCCUACGGGGCGCAGCAGGCGCGAAACCUUCGCAAUGCGCGAAAGCGCGACGAGGGGAGCCCGAGUGCCCUUCCUUCGGGGAGGGCUUUUCUGGAGCCUAAAAAGCUCCAGGAAUAAGGGCUGGGCAAGACGGGUGCCAGCCGCCGCGGUAAUACCCGCAGCUCGAGUGGUGGCCACUAUUAUUGAGCCUAAAGCGUCCGUAGCCGGACCCGUAAAUCCCUGGGUAAAUCCUGGCGCUCAACGUCAGGAAUUCCGGGGAGACUGCGGGUCUUGGGACCGGGAGAGGCCGGAGGUACUCCCGGGGUAGCGGUGAAAUGCUGUAAUCCUGGGGGGACCACCUGUGGCGAAAGCGUCCGGCUUGAACGGCUCCGACGGUGAGGGACGAAGGCCAGGGGAGCAAACCGGAUUAGAUACCCGGGUAGUCCUGGCUGUAAACGCUGCCCGCUUGGUGUUGCCGGUCUUUCGGGGGCCGGCAGUGCCGGAGCGAAGGUGUUAAGCGGGCCGCUUGGGAAGUACGGCCGCAAGGCUGAAACUUAAAGGAAUUGGCGGGAGAGCACUGCAACGGGAGGAGCGUGCGGUUUAAUUGGAUUCAACGCCGGAAAACUCACCGGGGGCGACCGGCACAUGUGGGCCAGGCUGACGACCUUGCCCGAAUAAGAGCCGGAGAGGUGGUGCAUGGCCAUCGUCAGCUCGUACCAUAGGGCGUUCACUUAAGUGUGAUAACGAGCGAGACCCCCAUCCCCAGUUGCCACCUGUCCCUCCGGGGGCAGAGCACACUGGGGAGACC
rnacentral:rRNA from 1 species